GGGUGCAGCCGCAGAUCUGGCAAAUUGCGAGCUGCCUUCCCUCCCUGAAGUGUGGAGCAGGAGCGCGGUGGUGGCGGCGCCUCCUCCUCCUCCGCCACCAAACUCCCGGGCGGCGGGGAUUUGGGGCCACCUCCUCCUCAGCCUGGAGGAAACCUCUCCUGAGGUUUCAGCCUGACUUCCCCCCACCCCAUUUUCUUUCUUCUUCCUCUUUUUUAAAAACACACAUUCCCCCCCCCCCACUCCUGGCUUCAGAUCUCAGGCUGCAGCAGCCCGAACCUUCCCAGGGCUCAGCUCUUUGGGGCUGCCCAUCCCUCCGGCUGCCAGGAAGGACGCGCGCCCAGCUUUGGGCGAAGAAAAGAAGAAAAACUUGUCGGAGGGGUUUCGCCAACCCACAGUAACCCCCUUCCCACAAACCUAAACCUCCCACCGGGGCCAUCCCAAGACGGGAAAGUUCCUUCGGAGCCGACAGUUCUCUUGGAUUUGGAGGAGGCACCCGCGUUGGCUGUGGAAUUAGAUCUGUUUUGAAUCCAGUGGAGCGCAUCGCAGGGGCUAGGAAGUCACCGUCUGCCGGCACCCGGGUGGCGCUGCCUGUGUGGAACAGAGAGUUUGAGAGGUCUGGCUGCCCAUAGCGUUUCCAACCCGCAGUUGUUCUGUGUCCGGUGAGAGCUGCGAGGGUGGCAAGUUGCAACAGAGACCCAGAGGUCCGGAGAGGGCUGCGCUCCCUUUUGCAUUCCCUGGUUAUUUUCGGUUCCUGACUGUGAAGUCCCAUCGAAAUUACAAAGGCCUCCAAAUCCUACGGAGACCUAUCCACAGCGCUCCGCAGCGUCGCCCCAUCCCCACGGGGAGCCCAGGAGCCCAGGGCACUGGGGAAGGACUGGCGGGGCGGGGGAGAGAGGUCUUGGCAACGGCAUGGCGAGGUUCCGGCGGGCCGAGCUGGCCGCUGCAGGAGUUGUGUUACUUUGCCACUUUUUAACCGACCGAUUCCAGUUCGCUGAAGGGGAA
rnacentral:lncRNA from 1 species